rnacentral:sRNA from 1 species
CUUGAAACGCUAUUCUACGUUCGGCUAGUGGAACAAAUAUUCUGUUAUAGCCAAUUAAAGUAAGUAUCAUUUACGUUAAUCAUAAUUGGUAGUGGUUUUCAAAACUGCCCAUGCUAGGAACUGAUAUUGGAGGUCUAAGACAGAGCGCACGACAUCAACGAAUGUUAAAUGUCGGAGAACCAUCGUUUAAGCAUCGGAGAAUAGAAGUUUCCAUUAUCGUUCUAACAGCCAAACAAAAGCAUCACCAUAUGUUCUAGAUCUCGCAUUAAAAUCACACGCGAUUAUCACAUUUUGCUUUCCUUCAAGGAAGACGAGUAGUUUGGUCAAUUCUGUUUUCGUCGUUUAGGCAUCGGAAAACAGAAGUUUCCAUUAUGGUUCUUACAGCCAAACCUCUUAUUGAAUCAAAAGCAUCACCAUAUGUUCUAGAUCUCGCAUUAAAAUCACAGCAAUUAUCACAUUUUGUUUUCCUUCAGGGAAGACGAGUAGUUUGUUCAAUUCUAUUUUCAAUGUAUUGCUCUUGCCCGAAUGUGGAAUGUACACCGAAACUAGAGUAAAAUUUAUUGCUAAAUUCGUAGUUUGGCAAAUUAGUAUAUCUAAUUACGUUGAGAAAAGUAAUUUCUUCAUAUUUAUAUUGCUUUUGUGCAGAAUUGCCACACCACCAAUUCUUUUCCUUGAAAUAUUUUGUAAUUAUUUAUGUAAGAAUUACUUAGAUUUUCAUCGGCAUUAAAGAUUUCACUUAAAAAGCCUAAAUCUAUAGAUUACUUCUUCAAAUAUAUUUAAAGAUAACUUUUAUUUUUGGUUAAACUUUGAAUGUUAUAUUGUAGAAUUUUUAUAUUGUUGUGUAAAUGUUUGAUUCACUGUACUGGGCAUUGAUUCAGACUGAGGUGUUGUUUAGAAUGUCAUUUUAAAAAUGACUUAAAAUGUUAAGUCCAGAGGGACAGUUCGCAGCAUUGAGAAUUAAGGACAUAUGCUUGUAAAAGACGACAUGAAACUUUGUUGAAGUUUGUAUUUUCAUAUGUUGGUUUAGAUGGUUGCAACAUAACAGGCUCGGCUUUGGUAGACUUCUUUUUGAAUGGUGACUGCUACCUUAUUGUAUUUUUGAUCAGAGGCCUUGAUUUGUGAGUGAUUAAUGGAAAAUCAUUUUCAUACAGUGGGUCAUCUAAUACCGCAUAGAGAUUAUUAGUUGAAUAAGUUUGAAGUCAUCCUUCUCUCGAAAGAUUUGACAAUGCCAUGAUUUCUCUUGUUUUUUUUUUUCAUUUUCAUAUCUGAUUACGGGUUACGACACGGUGAUUGAACUUUUGUCGUUGGAAUUUAGCCGCAAAGAAAACACCUUUUCAUUGAACGGCAGCGAUUAGCUAGAUGGCAUAACCUUCCACAAUUAUUACAAAGGCGAACAGGUGCGACAUACAGAUAUGACGCCUACUUUUAUUGUUUCCGAUGGAACGAAUUUACCACCGUCAUUUUUCCUGUUGAAUCCGAAUACGGAUACUGCUUGAACAUCUUUGUCACUGUUGUUUAUUCUUUCAAAUAUCAUUUCACCAGUAAAAUCUAAGGGAACGAACUUUAUUAUGUGAAAUUUCUGAAGAAAAUAGUAAUUAUAAAAAUGUAAUUAUAUAAUGUCUGAAUGUUCUAGUACCAAUAUUCUUUGGAAUAAAUUGCUCACUGAUGUUGGCUCCCUUUAAUUUAGCGUACAAAAAUAAUUCGUUGUUAUUCCUGCACUAAUGGGUUCCUCAGAAGAAACAAUAACAUAAAAACGACCUGGAUGUAGUUCAGGGUAAGUUAUUUGUUCAUUUUCAUAAGAAUAAUAAUUGCAUUUAUUUUCUUUUACAGCAUCCACAUUAUUUUCACUUCCUUUUGCAGCAGCCGAAGUAAUUGCAUUUUCAUCACUUAUUGGAACUUUUAAUUCUUUUUCCGAUUCAUUAGACGGUGUUUUGCGAGCACUAUGGGUGCCUGGCUCUAUACCCUUCAACGUGGACUGCAACAUCGGUGAGGUGGAUGCUUCAACAUCGCAGAAUACUGACAGCUUGGUCGCGCAACCAAAUGCUUGUAAGAGGGAGCGUACUGAAAAUGCAGCAAAUCUAAAUGAAAUCGUAAUCCCGGAGCUCAGGGAAAGACUGAAGAGGCACAAAUUGGCAGAUAACAACCCCUUUGGUAUCCUCAAUGUUCUCACUAAAGUGGAUUUUGCUUCCGCGGCAACGCAAGCAACCCAGACAGGCACUGGUAACAAAACUAAUAAAAAUAACAUCAACAACAAUAA